AACGAACGCUGGCGGCAUGCCUAACACAUGCAAGUCGAACGAGACCUUCGGGUCUAGUGGCGCACGGGUGCGUAACGCGUGGGAACCUGCCCUUAGGUUCGGAAUAACUCCCCGAAAGGGGUGCUAAUACCGGAUAAUGUCUUCGGACCAAAGAUUUAUCGCCCUUGGAUGGGCCCGCGUUGGAUUGGCUAGUUGGUAGGGUAAAAGCCUACCAAGGCGACGAUCCAUAGCUGGUCUGAGAGGAUGAUCAGCCACACUGGGACUGAGACACGGCCCAGACUCCUACGGGAGGCAGCAGUGGGGAAUAUUGGACAAUGGGCGAAAGCCUGAUCCAGCAAUGCCGCGUGAGUGAUGAAGGCCUUAGGGUUGUAAAGCUCUUUUACCCGGGAUGAUAAUGACAGUACCGGGAGAAUAAGCUCCGGCUAACUCCGUG
rnacentral:rRNA from 1 species